rnacentral:rRNA from 1 species
AGAGUUUGAUCCUGGCUCAGAACGAACGCUGGCGGCGUGCCUAACACAUGCAAGUCGGACGAGAAAGCCCGCAAGGGUGAGUACAGUGGCGCACGGGUGAGUAAUGAAUAGGAAUGUACCUUUAGGUGGGGGACAACCAAGGGAAACUUUGGCUAAUACCGCAUAUUAUCGAAAGAUAAAAGGGGGCGUCGGGCAACCGAGCUCUCGCCAAAAGAGCAGCCUAUUUCCCAUUAGCUUGUUGGUAGGGUAAUGGCCUACCAAGGCUACGAUGGGUAGCGGGUCUGAGAGGAUGAUCAGCCACACUGGGACUGAGACACGGCCCAGACUCCUACGGGAGGCAGCAGUGGGGAAUAUUGCACAAUGGGCGAAAGCCUGAUGCAGCAACGCCGCGUGAGUGAAGAAGGCUUUCGGGUUGUAAAUCUCUUUCGGCUAGAAAGAAGGGUGAUAGGAAUUAAUACCUCCUAUUUUUGGACGGUACCCAUCAUAAGAAGCACCGGCUAAUUCCGUUGCCAGCAGCCGCGGUAAUACGGAAGGUGCAAGCGUUGUUCGGAUUGACUGGGCGUAAAGAGCACGUAGGCGGGUUUGUAAGUCGGAUGUGAAAGCCCCAGGCUUAACCUGGGAACUGCAUCCGAAACUACAGAUCUUGAAUUCUUGAUAGGUUGGUAGAAUUCCUGGUGUAGGAGUGAAAUCCGUAGAUAUCAGGAGGAACACCGGCGGCGAAGGCGGCCAACUGGCAAUGAAUUGACGCUGAGGUGCGAAAGCGUGGGGAGCAAACAGGAUUAGAUACCCUGGUAGUCCACGCCGUAAACGAUGGAUACUAGGUGUUUGGGAAAUUAACCUCCUGAGUACUAAAGCUAACGCAUUAAGUAUCCCGCCUGGGGAGUACGGUCGCAAGGGCCGGAACUCAAAGAAAUUGACGGGGGCCCGCACAAGCGGUGGAAGUAUGUGGUUUAAUUCGACGCAACGCGCAGAACCUUACCUACCCUUUAACAUCCCACGCUAGUACCAGGAGAUGGUAUGUUUUCUUCGGAAACGUGGUGGAUAAGGUGCCUGCAAUGGCUGUCGUCAGCUCGUGUCGUAAGAUGUCUGGUUAAGUCCAAAAACGAGCGCAACCCCUAUCCUUAGUUGCCAUCAUUAAGUUGGGGACUCUAGGGAGACUGCCGGUGUUAAACCGGAGGAAGGCGGGGAUGACGUCAAGUCCUCAUGGCCCUUACGGGUAGGGCUACACACGUACUACAAUGGUAGAAACAAACCGUCGCGAAGCCGUGAGGUGGAGCUAAUCGGUAAAACACUAUCUCAGUCCAGAUUGGAGUCUGCAACUCGACUCCAUGAAGUUGGAAUCGCUAGUAAUCGCUGAUCAGCAAGCAGCGGUGAAUACGUUCCCGGGCCUUGUACACACCGCCCGUCACACCACGAAAGUGGUCAUAACCAGAAGUGGCCGAGCUAACCGCAAGGAGGCAGCGUACCAAGGUUGUAGUCGCGAUUGGGGUGAAGUCGUAACAAGGUAACC